UCUACGGGUGGCAGCAGUGGGGAAUAUUGGACAAUGGGGGGAACCCUGAUCCAGCCAUGCCGCGUGUGUGAAGAAGGCCCUCGGGUUGUAAAGCACUUUCAGUGAGGAAGAACGCCUGGUGGUUAAUACCCAUCAGGAAAGACAUCACUCACAGAAGAAGCACCGGCUAACUCCGUGCCAGCAGCCGCGGUAAUACGGAGGGUGCGAGCGUUAAUCGGAAUUACUGGGCGUAAAGCGCGCGUAGGUGGCUUGAUAAGCCGGUUGUGAAAGCCCCGGGCUCAACCUGGGAACGGCAUCCGGAACUGUCAAGCUAGAGUGCAGGAGAGGAAGGUAGAAUUCCCGGUGUAGCGGUGAAAUGCGUAGAGAUCGGGAGGAAUACCAGUGGCGAAGGCGGCCUUCUGGACUGACACUGACACUGAGGUGCGAAAGCGUGGGUAGCAAACAGGAUUAGAUACCCCAGUAGUC
rnacentral:rRNA from 1 species